CAGCAGCCACGGUAAUACGAAGGGUGCGAGCGUUAAUCGGAAUUACUGGGCGUAAAGCGUGCGCAGGCGGUUCGUUAAGACAGAUGUGAAAUCCCCGGGCUUAACCUGGGAACUGCAUUUGUGACUGGCGAGCUAGAGUAUGGCAGAGGGGGGUAGAAUUCCGCGUGUAGCAGUGAAAUGCGUAGACAUGCGGAGGAACACCGAUGGCGAAGGCAGCCCCCUGGGCCAACACUGACGCUCAUGCACGAAAGCGUGGGGAGCAAACAGGAUUAGAUACCCCCGUAGUCCCUGUCUCUUAUAC
rnacentral:rRNA from 1 species